rnacentral:rRNA from 1 species
UACGAAGGGGGCUAGCGUUGUUCGGAAUCACUGGGCGUAAAGCGCACGUAGGCGGAUGGUUAAGUCAGAGGUGAAAGCCUGGAGCUCAACUCCAGAACUGCCUUUGAUACUGGCCAUCUCGAGUCCGGAAGAGGUAAGUGGAACUGCGAGUGUAGAGGUGAAAUUCGUAGAUAUUCGCAAGAACACCAGUGGCGAAGGCGGCUUACUGGCCCGGUACUGACGCUGAGGCGCGAAAGCGUGGGGAGCAAACAGG